rnacentral:tRNA from 1 species
GGCUAUAGCUUAGUGGUAGAGCACUUGCCUAGCAUGUGUGAGGCACUGGGUUCGAUUCUCAGCACCA